rnacentral:rRNA from 1 species
UACGUAGGUGGCAAGCGUUGUCCGGAUUUACUGGGCGUAAAGCGAGCGCAGGCGGACCGCUAAGUAAGAAGUGAAAGGUCGGAGCUCAACUCCAACAUUGCUUCUUAUACUGACGGUCUUGAGUCUUGGAGGGGAAAGCGGAACGACACGUGUAGCGGUGAAAUGCGUAGAGAUCGGGAGGAACACCAGAGGCGAAGGCGGCGACCUGGACAGGCACUGACACUCAACUACGAAAGCGUGGGGAGCAAACAGG